rnacentral:lncRNA from 1 species
AAUCUUUGUUUUUGUAAACCCAUUCCACAGCCGAGUUGUUGCAAUCUAGGCUCUGAUACCACUAAAUGUAGCACCCCAAACUCGGCCCAGAAGUUAUGGCCGGAUCCGGCAUGCCACAUCAAAAACGUUAAAAAAUUUUCCAUUCUAAGUCCAGAAAAUCGUACUUGAUGUUCAAAAGAUUAAUUCAUUAAGGGUUAAAGUGAAUGGAAGCUGUGCACCAGGUAGGAAACCGGAAAAGAGGUGGUGAGUCCAUCGGACUGCUUAAGUACCAAGCUCCCUUCGGAUCCAAUCCUAGACAUGCAUACCGCCAUUGCCACACCUUAACGUCAUGGAUAUUUCUAGGAAACCGAUUUGAUUAAGUCAUUUUUAGGAAAGUGAUUAAUUUUGGAAAAUACUUUCAUUGCGGAAGCUUUGCUUGUUGUCGUGUUAUUUUGAAAUCAACUGUUGUUUUUGAAAACGCGCCCUAAAGCUAUCCAAUUUCAACAGUUAAAAUAAGUAAUACCUAUCUUAGUAAUACAUAUUAAAACCAUUAAAAAUAAUUAAGCGGUCUUAUUACAUUUAAAAACCCAAAACUUCAAACGUAAAUAAAAGGAUGUCUAGUUCACCAAAAGAAAAUCAAACUUUCAGAACGGGUGGCCACUCCGAAUUCCCUCACAGCUCCAAGCCCACUAUGGUUGGGGAUUUCCUGCAUAGAUGAAAAUAAAAGGGGUGAGUUUGGGGAAACUCAGUGUGUAAGGAAAACCCAUUCAAAGCCCAAGUUAGCUCAAGCCUAUUGGGCCUAAGCCCAUUCAGGUAACAGUGGUACUGGGCCAGAGCCCUUUUCAGAUUACAAUAAACUGGGCCUUAGCCCCUUAUUCAGAUAACAGUAUGGCCCAUAGGCCCAUUUCAAAAUACAUGCAACAUCAGUAAACAUAUGCAAGCCCAUUUGGGGAGACUACUCAACCCACCAACCACUACACUCCACCCGUACCAGCCAUACACUCCAUGCGGGGAAUAGCUCAACCCACCCAGCCCAACACUCCACAGUUGCAGCCUUGCUGCUCAGUUAACAGCAAAUUGAGGCAAAGCCUCCAGUACGUGGACAAGCCACUAUCAGUACUUCCUCCGUCAAUAUCCCAGUCCCAUGCAUCAGAUAAUAACAACAUGGCAUGCAGUAAAUAACAACAGUCAAACAUGCAUUUAGGUCAAUUUAACCCUAGGGGUAUUUCGAUAAUUUAUCUCCUAAGGGUAAAACUGUAAAAUUUCACUUUUAAAGGUAUUUCAGUAAUUUAUCUAUUUUAGGGUUUUUCAUGCAUAUUCCUACCUUUCACGUACUAACAGAAUCACUACCGAGGGUUCUUAUCGAAUUGGGCCCGUUGGCCCAUCAUUCCAAUUUUGGCCCAUUAAGCCCAAAAAUAUCGAGGGCACAGAAAUCAUGCACUUUGCAGUCCAAACAUUGCAGCUUACCAAAAACAUUAAUCGAUUUACCUCACGAGCAUUCGCACACCCGCAAAUCUACAAAAUACCAGUUUUUGGCAUUUCGGCUUUUCGGCUUUUGCCGAUCCAGACUAAGAAAGAGGGUGUUAGUUACACACCUGUUUGCGACGAUAUGCUGACGAGAUCCACACAGGAACCGCCUACAAUUGGAUUACUAACACGUUAAUCUAACUAUUCAAAUACAAACUACGUAUUAACCCCUUACAAUAUUCGGCCAACCACACAUACAGAUCAUAGUAAGCUUAUAAGAAAUCAAUAAGCAACUCAUUAACAAAUUUUUGUCAAUGUUUACCACAUAAUCAUAAUUUCACUGCAAGCUGGCUUCCUGAACAACAGUCACUAAAUCAUUUAUAACUGGAGCUACGAAACUCCAAAUCAAGUGCCGUUAAUUUUCCCUGAAAAUAGACUCAUAUAUCUUCUAUCCAUAAAAUUUUAAGAAUUUUACCAGAUUUUUCUUAAAGUUUCCCAUGUUUCACUGUUUGUCUAAUCUGACCACUCUUCAUUACGAAUCAAAUUUCUCAUUGUACAGAAUUCAAAAUAUGUUCUCGUUUAUUUCAUUUGAAACUAGACUCAACAAGAUUUAAUUACAUAAUUUAUUCAGCUUCUAAUUCAUCUCCCACAAUUUAUGGUGAUUUUCCAAAGUCACGUUACUGCUGCUGUCCCAAGCAGAUUUAUUACCAAAUUCACUCUUUCACACAUAACUUGCAUGCAUGUUAUUUAAACAUGUAUAUCACCAAUCAAUCAUCACAUAUCUAUGAUUUUACUUAAGUAUAAUCUCCAUUUCAUCAUUUUAAAGCACAACAUGUUAGCUGAUUUUUCGCUUUAACAUCUAAGGCACAUGCAUGCUCAUUUGUUUGGCUCAACUUCACCUAUCUUCCAUUUUUCAUCAAAAGAACAUGAAACAACAACCAUUUCCUUCAUUUUAAUUCAUGACUAAAUGCUCACAACACAACUAAAAACCAAAAUAUGCUUCAAGAGUUAAGGUAGAAUCAAGAUGAACUCAUGAACCUCAAAAUAAGAAGCAAGGUACCAAGAACUUACCUUCAAUUUUCCUCCUCCUAAUGACCGAAUACUCAAGAGCUUUCUCCUCUCCUUUCUCUUCUCUAACUUUCAGCUAUGAUGAACAAAGAUGGACAAAACUUUGUUCUUUUCACCCCUUUUUCUUUUAAUAAAACUUCAUAUUUCAUCCAUUUAAUUCUUUAAUACAAAAGACAUGAAAUUCUUAUCAUGAAACAUUUACCUAACCCAUUAUCAUGAAACAUUUACCUAACCCAUUAUCAUGGAACAUUUACCUAACCUAUUAUCAUAGAACAUUUACCUAACCUUUUAUCAAUUUGUAUCAAUUUGUACCAUAAAUUAUGGAUAUCAAGUGCACAUUUUGUCUACAACAACAUGAUGGCUGGCCACUUCAUGUAAAAUGGGAGGUUUGUCAUGCAAAUCCUCCUAUUUUGCACUCCUAUUUAUUUGGCCACUUCAAUUUAGCCUAUAGCAUUUUCACAUAGGUCCUAUUUCAUAAUUUCACUCCCUUUUUCUUAUGGAACAAAAAUUAACUAAAAUUACCGGGUUCUAUCUUAAGCUUGGGCCUUCUAGAGGCCCACUAACAUAAUUAAACCUAUGCCAACAUUCACAGGAUUCCCGAAAAUUGGGGCGUUACAGUUUACUUAUAAGUAUAAUUUAAUAUAUUUUGAUCCAAAGGUUUAUGUAAGUUAUGAUAUGAUAUAUAUUUAUGUAUUAUGUAAGUUAUGUAUGUUAUGAUCCAAAGUUUUUUUUUAUUCUUUACAUGUUUAUGUAAAUUAUGGUAAUCAUAAACUUUAAAUGUUUAUGUAAGUUAUGAUUAUCAUUUUUAAAUUUUAACUUUAAAUUUAAACCCUUUAAUUAUACUCUUUUAAUUUAUAAAUUUGUGAUUUUUAUCACCUUUAUGUUUACUAUAUUUAAAAAGACAAAAAAUAAAAAAAUAAUAAUUAUAUGUUAAUAAAGUUAAUAUUUGUUAAUUUUUCAUCUAUUUUGAGUUAAAAUUUAAAUUAAAUUUCCAUGAACUUUUUAACUUUAUAUUACACAUUAAAAUCGAUCAAUUAUUUUUACGAUAAUAUUUAUGAAAAAUAUUAAAAUAAUUUUAACAUUAAGAUAAAUAUUAUUUUCCUUUAAAAAAUUAUUUUAAUUAAAUAAUAUUUAUUUCUAUGAUAAAUAUUAUAUUAUGUUUUAUUUUUGAAAUUUGAACUUUAAACUAUAUACUUUUAAGGAUAAAUAAAAAAAUACUAUUUAAAUUAAAUUUCUAUGAAAAAUUUAACUUUAAAAAUAAAUAUAAAAAAUUAAUAAAUUUAAAUUUAGAAUUUAAAAUAAUAAAUUAUUAACACAAUUAAAAUCCAAAAGUUAGAACUUAACUUAUCUUAAACUUUAAAAUAAAAAAUAAAAAUUUAGAAUCAAAAUUAAAAUAAAUAAUAAUUUUUUUUGAAUCAAAAAUUGAAUUAAAUAUAAAGAUAUCAAUAAAAUAAUAUAUUAUAAUGAAGUUUUUUUUUUUGAAAAAAUGACACAAAAGUCUACCUCAUUUUAUUGCGUCAUGAAUGAUGAAGUUAUGGAUCUCCACCGGAUAUUAUAAUGAAGUUACUUAAAUGAAAUAAAGACUUAAAUCAUAACCAUGUAAAAUAUAAGAUUUGAACAUCCAUUCCAUGAAAAUAUCAACAUUAAUUAUUUAAAUUGAUUAUUCUUUUUUUAUUAAAGAUAUUAAAGAUUUGUUAUUUCUUUUGUUUAUUUUGUCAAUACUAAAAUUAACCAUAUAAAUAAUAUUAGCAAAUAAACAAAUAUCAAAACUCAAUAAAUCAAAUUAAUUUAAUCUUCUCAAAACAUAUAACUUGAAUAAACAAUUUUACUUAAUAUCGAAACUCAAUAAAUUGAACCUUUUUAAAAACACAUAAUUGAAUAAACGGUUCUACUUAAUAUCAAAAUUCAAUAAAUUGAACUAAAUUAACUUUUUUUAAAACGCAUAAUUGAACAACCGGUUUUACAUUGUAUAACAGAAUAAAUGGUUCUGCUUUAUAUAAAAACUCAAUAAAUUGAACUAAAUUAACAUUCAUAAUUGAACAAACCUUUUUACUUAAUAUCAAAUUUCAAUAAAUCAAACUAAAUUAUGCUUCUGAAAAUGUAUAACUGAAUAAACAGUUUCGCUUAAUAUCAAAACUUAAUACAUUUAACUAAAUUAACUUUUCUAAAAAACACAUAAUUAGAUAAACGAUUAUACUUGAUAAUUAAUCGAACUAAACUAACCAAAUUUAUUCAAUUACAAUCAAGUUUUAGUGCAACUAAUGCUAAAUCCUAAUUAUUGAAUUAAAUUAAUCAUUAAAAUGUAAGAAUUAAUUUGAAUGUCACAAAAUAUGUACAAUAAUAAACUUGAACAUUUCUAGAUUGAAAUGGAAACAAAAAAAAACCAUUUCAAAUUGAUUGCAAGAACCGAGAAGAGAGUAUCAGCAACAACUGGGUUUAUUGCAGGCCAGCUCAUGAUGUUCAUAUCAAUCUACUAUGUACCUCUGCGUUUAGCAUUGGGUAAACCUCAUACAAUAAUUGUCCUAGCUCUACCGUAUCUUUUGUUUCAUUUCUUCUGGAACAAUCACAAAGACUUUUUUUAUCAUAGAUGUCCUACCAGAAAUUCAAUACGUAAUCUUAGCAUUCAAUGUGUAUUCCUGAAUAAUCUCAUUAUUCAAUUAUUCAACUAUUUCAUUUUACCAAGUUCAAUGUUAGCCAGAUUAGUCAACAUCUAUAUGUUUCGAUGCAACAACAAUAUGUUAUUUGUAACAAGUAGUUUUGUUGGUUGGUUAAUUGGUCAUAUUUUUGUAACACCCCUUACCUGGCCCAGAUGUUAUGGCCGAAUCCGACAUGCCACAUCGAAGCAUUCAAAAAAUUUUCGAUCUAGAAAGAAAACUUACUGAGUGUUUUAAAAGAUGAUUUCAUUAUAGGUUAAAGUGAAUGGAAGCUGUGCACCAGGUAAGAAACCGGAAAAGAGGAGGUGAGUCCAUCGGACUGCUUAAGUACCAAACUCCCUUCGGAUCCAAUCCUAGACAUGCAAACCGCCAUUGCCUUACCUUAACGUCAUGUAUAUUUCUAGGAAACCGAUUUGAUUAAGUCCUUUUUAGGAAAAGUGAUUAAUUUUGGAAAAUAUCUUCAUUGCGGAAGCUUUGCUUGUUUUCGUGUUAUUUUGAAAUCAAUUACUGUUUUUGAAAACGCACCCUAAAGCUAUCCAAUUUCAAUAGUUAAAUAUAAAUAUUACCUAUCUUAAUAAAACAUAUAAAAACCAUCAAAAAUAAAUAAGCGGCCUUAUUACAUUUAAAUGCCCAAAACCUCAAACGUAAUUAAAAGGAUGUCCAGUUCACCAGAAGAAAAUCAAAUUUUCAGAACGGGUGGCCACUUCGAAUUCCCUCACAGCUCCAAGCCCACUAUGGUUGGGGAUUACCUGCAUGGAUGAAAAUAAAAGGGGUGAGUUUGGGGAAACUCAGUGUGUAAAAUAACCCAACCAUAGUCUAAAUCAGCUCAACCCACAGAAACAGAAUAAGUUGGCCUUAGCCCAGAAUAGAAAUUCAGAAUAAAGCCCAUAGGCCCAUAACAGAACAGAACAGAUAUUACAUGUUUAUGCAGAAACCCAACCCAGAUUCAUCCAUAACACCCCCGUACCAGCCUUACACCAUGUAGGGAGACUACUCGACCCACCAGACCGCUACACACCAUAGAAAUCGUAGCGAGGCUGCCAGAUAUUGUGACGAAGUCGCCAGAUAUUGUGACGAAGUCACUAGAUACAGAUAUUGUGGCAGAGCCACCAGAACAGAUAUAUGUGGCAGAGCCACCAGAUCAGAUAAUCGUGGCAUAGCCACCAGAACAGAUAUAUAUGGCAGAGCCACCAGAUCAGAUAAUUGUGGCAUAGCCACCAGGACGCUUCCUCCAUAAUAUAACCCAUGUCCCCAUGCAACAGAUAUAUAAUCAUGGCAUACAUCAUACAGAAUUAGAUCGUCAUGCUUUUCAAUCAAAAUUAACCCUAGGGGUAUAACGGUAAUUUUGCACCUAGAGGUAUAACAGUAAUUUUCCAUACAUAGGGGUAUUAUAGUAAUUUAGCUGCUUUUAGGGUUUUCAUGCAUAUCCUAACUAUUUACGUACUAUCAGAACACUUACCGCGCAUACUUACCAAAUUGGGCCCGUUGGCCCAUGAACCCGAUCUUUGGCCCAUUAAGCCCAAAUUAUCAAAAUGUACGAAAUCGCGCGUACUACAGUUUAUUACUUUAGAUUACCAAAUAUACAAACCCAACUAUCUUAUGAGCAUUCGCACACUCGCAAAUUCCCAAAAUACCGACUUUUCGGUAUUUCGGCAUUUCAACUCUUACCAAUCUAGUUUAUGAGAGGGUGUCAGUUACACACUUGUUUGCGACGAUAUGCUGACGAGACCCACACACGAACCGCCUACAAUUGGAUUACUAACACGUUAAUCUAACUAUUCAAAUACAAACUAUGUAUUAAUCCCUUACAAUAUUCGACCAACCACACCUACAGGUCAUAGUAAGCUUAUAAGAAAACAAUAAGCAACUCAUUAACAAAUUUUUGUCAAUGUUUACCACAUAAUCAUAAUUUCACUGCAAGCUGUCUUCCUGAGCAAUAGUCACUAAAUUAUUUAUAAGUGGAGCUACGAAACUCCAAAUCAAGUGCCGUUGAUUUUCCCUGAAAAUAGACUUAUAUAUCUUCUAUCCAUAAAAUCUUCAGAAUUGUUGGUAUAGCUAAUCAAUACCAGAUUUUUCUUAAAUUUUCCCAUGUUUCAUUGUUUGACUAAUCUGACCACUCUUCAUUACGAAUCAAAUUUCUCAUUGUACAGAAUUCAAAAUAUGUUCUCGUUUAUUCCAUUUGAAACUAGACUCAUUAAGCUUUAAUUACAUAAUUUAUGCAGCUUCUAACUCAUCUCCCAAAAUUUAUGGUGAUUUUCCAAAGUCACAUUACUGCUGCUAUCCCAAGCAGAUUUAUUACCAGAUCACUCUUUCACACCUAACUUGCAUGCUUGUUAUUUAAACAUGUAUAUCACCAAUCAAUCAUCAUAUAUCUAUGAUUUUACUUAAGUAUAAUCUCCAUUUCAUCAUUUUAAAGCACAACAUGUUAGCCGAUUUUUCCCCUUAGCAUCUAAGGCACAUGCAUGCUCAUUUGUUUGGCUCAACUUCACCUAUCUUCCAUUUUUCAUCAAAAGAUCAUGAAACAACAACCAUUUCCUUCAUUUUAAUUCAUGACUAAAUGCUCACAACACAACUAAAAACCAAAAUAUGCUUCAAGAGUUAAGGUAGAAUCAAGAAGAACUCAUGAACAUCAAGGUAGAAGCAAACUACCAUGAACUUACCUUCAAUUUUCUUCCCCAAGUGACCGAACAUUCAAGAGCUUUCUCCCCUCCUUUCUCUUCUCUAACUUUCGGCUAUGAUGAACAAAGAUGGACAAAACUUUGUUCUUUUCACCCCUUUUUCUUUUAAUAAAAUUUCAUAUUUCAUCCAUUUAAUUCUUUAAUACAAAAGACAUGAAAUGCCCAUCAUGGAACAUUUACCUAAACCAUUAUCAUGGAACAUUUACCUAACUCAUUAUCAUGGAAUAUUUACCUAAUCCAUUAUCAUGGAACAUUUACCUAACUCAUUAUCAAUUUGUACCAUGAAUUAUGGAUAUCAAAUGCUCAUAUUAUCUACAACAACAUGGUGGCUGGCCACUUCAUGUAAAAUGGGAGGUUUGUCAUGCAAAUCCUCCUAUUUUGCACUCCUAUUUAUUUGGCCACUUCAAUUUAGCCUAUAGCAUUUUCAAACAUUUUCACAUAGGUUCUAUUUCAUAAUUUCACCCCCUUUUUCUUAUGGAACAAAAAUUAACUAAAAUUGUCGGGUUCUAUCUUAAGCUUGGGCCUUCUAGAGGCCCACUAACAUAAUUAAACCUAUGCCAACAUUCACAGAAUUCCCGAAAAUUGGGGCGUUACAACUCUACCCUCCUUAAAGAAAUUUCGUCCUCAAAAUUUACCUGAUCCAACUAGUUGAGGGUAUUGUUGACGCAUAGUCUCUUCUGAUUCCCAAGUAGCUUCUUCCCUUCCAUGAUUACGCCAAAGUACUUUCACUAACGGGACAAAUUUCCUUCUGAGAACCUUAACAUCUCGAGCCAAUAUUUGCACAGGCUCCUCUUCAAAGGUCAAAUCAGUCUGAACUUCGAUUUCUGCAACUGGCAGGACAUGAGCAGGGUCAGCACGAUAACGCCUUUGACAUGGAGACGUGAAAAACAUCGUGAAUCCUAUCUAACUCUGGAGGCAAUUCCAACUGAUAAGCCACUGGGCCUACUCGCUUCAAAACCCGAUAAGGCCCAAUGAACUGCGGACUCAACUUGCCCUUCUUAUCAAACCUUAAUAUCUUCUUCCAAGGAGAAACCUUUAAGAAGAUCAUAUCACCUACUGAGUACUCAAUCUCCUUAUGCUUCAAAUCUGCAUACGACUUUUGCCUAUCAGAUGCUUUUUUUAACCGGUCCCUAAUUAUUCUGACCUUAUUCUCAGUAUUAGCUACCAACUCUGGUCCAAGAACUUGUCGCUCUCCUAGUUCGGUCCAACAACUAGGUGUACGACACCUUCGUCCAUACAGUGCUUCAUACGGUGCCAUUCGAAUACUCGCCUCAUAACUGUUAUUGUACGCAAAUUCUGCCAACGGAAAGUAAUCCUCCCAACUACCUCGAAAGUCAAUCACGCAUCCCCUCAACAUGUCCUCUAGAAUCUGAAUAACCCUUUCCGAUUGACCAUCAGUCUGGGGAUGGAAAGCCGUACUAAAAUUCAAUCGCGUCCCCAAUGCCUCAUGCAACUUUUGCCAAAACCGAGAUGUAAAUCUGGGAUCCCGAUCAGAAAUAAUUAAAACUGGGACUCCAUAAAGUCGUACAAUCUCCGCCACAUACAGCUUAGCUAGCUUUUGAAGUGAAAAGUCAAUACGUACAGGUAUGAAAUGGGCUGAUUUGGUCAACCUAUCCACAAUCACCCACACUGAGUCUUUCUUUGAUGGUGUCAAAGGCAACCCACUCACAAAGUCCAUGGUUACCCUCUCUCACUUCCAAAGUGGUAUCUUCACCGGCUAUAACAGUCCAGAAGGUAAUUGAUGCUCAGCUUUCACUUGUUGGCAUGCCAGACAUUUUCCUACAAACUCCGUUACUUCUCGCUUAAGUCCAGGCCACCAGUACAAAUCUCGCAAGUCGUGAUACAACUUAUUCCUUCCAGGAUGCAUGGCACAUAGUCCCCCAUGAGCUUCCUUCAAUAUUGUCUGCCUUAAAUCAGAGUCCCUCGGAACACAAAUUCUUCCUCGGAAACACAGAACUCCAUCACCAUUUAAACCGAACUCAGAAGUUUCCCCUUCCUUAACUUGUUGAAAACGAGCAACCAAAGACUCAUCUUCUAACUACUUUUCCUUAAUCUGGUCCACCCAGGUUGGCCUUUGCAAUUCAGCCAACAAACUUCCAUCAUCAUACAGACUCAAACGAGCAAACAUUGCUCUCAGAUUAGAUACGGUUCUACGACUUAAAGCAUCAGCUACCACAUUAGCUUUGCCUGGGUGAUACUCGAUCAAACAGUCAUAAUCCUUAAGCAACUCAAUCCAUCUCCUUUGCCUAAGGUUCAGCUCCUUCUGAGUCAAAAAAUACUUAAGACUCUUGUGGUCUGUGUAUAUAAUACACCUUUCUCCGUACAAGUAAUGUCUCCAAAUCUUAAGUGCAAAUAUCACUACUGCCAACUCUAAAUCAUGAGUCGGAUAGUUCCCCUCAUGAGGCUUAAGCUGUGGUGAUGUAUAUGCAACCACCUUACCCUCUUGCAUUAACACGCAGCCCAAACCCAUGUGUGAUGCGUCACUGUACACACUAAAAUCUUUCCUAAACUCCGGCUGAAUUAACACAGGUGCUUCAGUCAGAACUUUCUUCAACUUCUCAAAAGCUCUCUGCUGCUUCUCAGUCCAUACAAACGGUUCUCCUUUCCUUAUGAGUUUUGUCAGGGGUGCUUCCAUAACAGAAAAAACCUUCCACAAACCUUCUGUAGUAUCCUGCCAACCCUAGGAAACUUCGAAUUUCUGACACCGUCCUAGGUGGCUUCCACUCCAAAAUUGCUUCAAUCUUUCGAGGGUCCACCUUAAUCCCUUCGGUAGAGACCACAUGUCCUAAGAAGGUUACCUCCUUCAACCAAAAUUCACACUUGUUGAACUCCGCAAAGAGUUCCUUCUCCCUUAACACUCGCAGCACUAUACGGGGAUGCUCAUCAUGUUUCACUUCAGUUUCAGAUACCAGGAUAUCAUCAAUGAAGACAACUACGAAUCAAUCCAAGAAUGGUUGGAACACCCGAUUCAUCAGAUCCAUAAAUGCUGUAGAAGCGUUCGUCAGUCCAAAUGGCAUAACCAAAAACUAGUAAUGACCAUACCGAGUCCUGGAUGUCGUCUUAUGGAUAUCCGCCUCCUUGACCCUUAACUGAUGAUAUCCAGAUCGGAUGUCGAUCUUGGAAAAUACAGAAGCUCUUCUAAGCUGGUCGAACAGAUCAUCAAUCCUUGGCAGUGGAUACUUAUUCUUAAUUGUUAGUUUGUUCAACUGGCGAUAAUCAAUACACUUCCGCAUUGUACCAUCCUUCUUCUUCACGAAUAGCACCGGUGCUCCCCAUGGAGACACGCUUGGCCUAAUGAAGCCCUUAUCCAACAACUCUUGAAUUUGUGCCUUUAGCUCCACCAACUCCUUCGGUGCCAUCCUAUACGGUGCGAUGGACACUGGCGCCGUUCCAGGCAACAAAUCUAUUCCAAACUCAACUUCUCGGUUCGGAGGCAAUCUUGGAAGCUCCUUCGGAAAAACAUCUUGGAACUCCUUUACGGUCCUAACCUUAUCCACUGUCAGUCCCUCUUCUUCUGACUGACUUACAAAUGCCAAAUAGGCCUCACAACCUUUCCGAUCCACUUUUCGACUCUUAAAGCUAACACCACAUUGGACAAAUAAUCCAUUCGCUCACCUAUCACUAUAACCUCCUCAUCCUUUGUGGUCCUUAACACCAUUCGUUUAGCAGCACAAUCCAGGGUCGCCUUAUGCUUAACAAGCCAGUCCAUUCCCAAAAUGAGAUCAAACUCUCCGAACGGUAACUCCAUCAGAUCUCCAGGGAAAUUCUACCUUGACUUUCUAAGGGUACAUCCCUAUACAGUUUGUCUACCCUAACCGAGUGACCCAAAGGACUUAGUACAGAUACCCCACUCACAAUCUCCUCAGAGCAGUCCAAGUUGUCCAUAAUCCAUUCUAUGGCCUCCAACCAAUUUUCAGCCACAUUCGGGGCUAUACCAGACACGCCCCUAAAGAUCUCCGCUCCAUUAGCCUGAAGUCGUUCAGAAAUAGAUCCCCGAACUCCAUUGCCCGUACUUGCCCCGGUAACCCUUUUCAGAACACGAAGCAUUGCCUAUGACAGGGCAUCAUCCUCGGCACCGCAGUCAUGAGACUCUACUUCUGUUGCCGGUGGUACCGGUGCAUCCACCGCCGUCAUAUGUCUCGAAGACGAAGAUCUCGCUCGAGCACUUCCUCGGCUCCAUCCACGGCCUCUUGUACUCAUAUCGUAUUAUCUUGAUUACAAAUUUUUAUGCAUCAAUUAAUAUUCCAGUGUUUAUUACAGAUGUUUUAUGAAUCAGACAGUAGUUCAGAGUCUGUUUUCGCAGAAUCGAAGUCUAGCUACAGUUUCAGUCUUUUAUCAGAUUUUCCUAUGGUUUCAGUAUCAUUCUAUCUAGAGUAUCCUAAUAGGGUUUCAGUACAGACAGAUAAUUCAGGAAAAUAUUCAGAAAAAUUCAGAAUACUUACAGAAUUGAGCUGGAGAUUCAGAAUUCCACCUUCUAAAGAUCUAAAUUUUGAAAAUCGAGUUUUUCGCAUUCUUUAUAAAAUUUUCGCUUUCGAAAAUCUUUAUUUUUGUAAACCCAUUCCACAGCCGAGUUGUUGCAACCUAGCCUCUGAUACCACUAAAUGUAACACCCCUUACCUGGCCUAGACGUUAUGGCCGGAUCCGACAUGCCAUAUCGAAGCAUUCAAAAUAUUUCUGAUCCAGAAAGAAAACUUACUGAGUGUUUUAAAAGAUGAUUUUAUUAUAGGUUAAAGUGAAUGGAAGCUGUGCACCAGGUAGGAAACCGGAAAAGAAGAGGUGAGUCCAUCGGACUGCUUAAGUACCAAACUCCCUUCGGAUCCAAUCCUAAACAUGCAAACCGCCAUUGCCAUACCUUAACGUCAUGUAUAUUUCUAGGAAACCGAUUUGAUUAAGUCAUUUUUAGGAAAAGUGAUUAAUUUUGGAAAAUAUCUUCAUUGCGGAAGCUUUGCUUGUUUUCG